UACAGAGGGGGCAAGCGUUUAUUCGGAAUUAUUGGGCGUAAAGGGCGCGUAGGCGGCCUGACAAGUGGAAGGUGAAAUCCCUCGGCUUAACCGAGGAACUGCCCUCCAAACUGUUUGGCUUGAGACCGGGAGAGGUGAGUGGAAUUCCAGGUGUAGCGGUGAAAUGCGUAGAUAUCGGGAGGAACACCAGUGGCGAAGGCGACUACCUGGCCUGUUCUUGACGCUGAGGCGCGAAAGCGUGGGGAGCAAACAGG
rnacentral:rRNA from 1 species